rnacentral:lncRNA from 1 species
UUCUAGUCUGGCAAAAUGCAGCAGAGAACUCAGCUCACCCUGUCCUUUUUGCUGUUCCAGUAUUUAGGUACAAGAGAGGCCAUCCAGAGGACCAGAAUGACUUCUCAGGUCUCCUGUUAGAUGACCAAAGAAGAGAUGAACCUUCCUUCUGUAUCCAUCAGGUUUGUAUUUUAGGAUUUGCUACUGUCAUCUGGAUUCUCAGGUGAUUUGACAUUGAAUUUCAACUAUUAC